AGUGAACGCUGGCGGUAGGCCUAACACAUGCAAGUCGAACGGCAGCACAGUAAGAGCUUGCUCUUACGGGUGGCGAGUGGCGGACGGGUGAGGAAUACAUCGGAAUCUACUUUUUCGUGGGUGAGAACGUAGGGAAACUUACGCUAAUACCGCAUACGACCUACGGGUGAAAGCAGGGGAUCUUCGGACCUUGCGCGAUUGAAUGAGCCGAUGUCGGAUUAGCUAGUUGGCGGGGUAAAGGCCCACCAAGGCGACGAUCCGUAGCUGGUCUGAGAGGAUGAUCAGCCACACUGGAACUGAGACACGGUCCAGACUCCUACGGGAGGCAGCAGUGGGGAAUAUUGGACAAUGGGCGCAAGCCUGAUCCAGCCAUACCGCGUGGGUGAAGAAGGCCUUCGGGUUGUAAAGCCCUUUUGUUGGGAAAGAAAAGCAGCAGGUUAAUACCCCGCUGUUCUGACGUUACCAAAAGAAUAAGCACCGGCUAACUUCGUG
rnacentral:rRNA from 1 species